GACGAACGCUGGCGGCGUGCUUAACACAUGCAAGUCGAACGGAAAGGCCCUGCUUUUGUGGGGUGCUCGAGUGGCGAACGGGUGAGUAACACGUGAGUAACCUGCCCUUGACUUUGGGAUAACUUCAGGAAACUGGGGCUAAUACCGGAUAGGAGCUCCUGCUGCAUGGUGGGGGUUGGAAAGUUUCGGCGGUUGGGGAUGGACUCGCGGCUUAUCAGCUUGUUGGUGGGGUAGUGGCUUACCAAGGCUUUGACGGGUAGCCGGCCUGAGAGGGUGACCGGCAACACGGGGACGGGGCCGAGGACCAGAGUCCUAAGGGAGGGAGCAGUGGGGAAUCUUGGGCAAUGGGCGAAAGUCGGACGGAGCGACGGCGAGUGAGUGAUGAAGGUGUUCGGAGCGGAAAAAGGUGUUAUGAGGGAAGAAAAAAGGUGUAAGGAAAUGAACGGAUCGUGACGGUAAGUAAUAAGAAAGACACGGCUAACUACGUG
rnacentral:rRNA from 1 species